GCAGCCUCAGCAGGCUCAAGCAGGCUCACUGGGGCACACACAAGCUCACUUGCACUUGGCUCCUGAACCCCUUCAUGCCACAGGAGGACAUCUGAGCGAUUCCCGUCACUCCCCUGUGAACCCGUCGGAGCCUCGGCCUCUCAGAUUCUUGCGCACACAGUCUCUCAGGCUCACUCACUCUCUGUGGCCUGCCUCAGAUCGUCUGCCACGGCCCCCCGUGUGACCCCACUCCUGGCCUUCAGCCUGCUGGUUCUCUGGACCUUCCCAGGUAAGGCUUUGGAGAUGAUUACGGUAGGGGCCACAGUGACCUGUGGACAAUAUGUAGGUCUUAGACUGUUACAAUGGUCAUGAAAGACCCUCCGAGUUCAGAGUCAGUGGAUCCAAGGGCUCCUUAUGCCUUCUGUGUGUGCCUGUCAAUAUGAGUGUGCCUGUAUCCAGGAUUCCAAUGUGGCUCAGCUCUGUCAUAUCCUGGGGCUUAUAGCUGUGGGCUCCAUGUCCUGUUACCUCAGCUUCCAGGCAGCAGAAGGAAGGAACAGUGUAUCUUCCUUGAGGGACCUAAGACUAUAAUUAAGUGGGUGGAGUGUUUGCCUUGCCUGGGUGAAACCCUGGUUUCAAUUGCACCACUGGGGUUGUGGGGGUGAGAGCUUUGCUGUGUAUUUGCUUCCAUCUGAGAGAACAAGAAACACUGAAGACAUGCUUAAUAACUUGUUCCCCUUUUGGGGGUUGCAUUUUUAAGGGCCUUGGUUUGGUUUGGUUUGGCUUGGUUUGGUUUGGUUAGUUUGGUUUAGUUUGGCUUUUGAGAAAGCAUCUGUCCAUGUUGCCCAGGCUAGCCUCCAUCUCCUGGGCUCACGUGAUCCUACAUCUCAGCUUUCCUCCUGGUAGCUGGGACUCCGGGUAUGGCAGCCAUCUGCUGUAGUCAUUCAGAAACCUGAAGGAGUCUCAGCAGAGGCAAGCCUCCCCUGUCCCAGCAUUCUCCUGUUAACUCUCCAUAUGCUAAAACACUGUAAAAGCUGAGAAAACCUGGGAAAGGGUGUAUGACCCCAGCAUUUGGGAUACGUUGAAAAAUGGUUAUUUACUAAAUGGCUUAGAAGACUACAAUAUGUUCAGCAGCCAACUGAGCCACAGUGGCACUCAAGGCUGAAUAUCAGGUCCAGCAAUCACACACAGAGAGAUGCUAUCAAAGCCACUUAGGGACUGUGGCCUCCCUUCCUCAUGGUCUCAGGGUCUUCUCCCCUUCUUUCUCCUAUCUCAGCCCCAACUCUGGGGGGUGCUAAUGAUGCGGAAGACUGCUGCCUGUCUGUGACCCAGCGCCCCAUCCCUGGGAACAUCGUGAAAGCCUUCCGCUACCUUCUUAAUGAAGAUGGCUGCAGGGUGCCUGCUGUUGUGUGAAUUGCUUGUGGAAAGAAUAUCUAGCCCCAUCCCCCCAUGAGCCCUUGCUGAUGCCAUCAUGGCUUUAACCCUGAACUCAGGGCCGAGCCCAGUUUUCAUGGAAGCCCAUGAAACAGGUCCCUACAAAUAGUCUCCAAGCCUCCGUUCCUUACUUUAGAGCUUGCUAGGAAACUGGGUUCCAGGGCUUUUAUUCUCUCCAACCUCUGGCUACAGGUUCACCACACUAAGGGGCUAUCAGCUCUGUGCACCUCCAGACCAGCCCUGGGUGGAUCGCAUCAUCCGAAGACUGAAGAAGUCUUCUGCCAAGGCAAGCCUGACCCUCCUCAGUCCUGCCUCCACCCUCCCAACACCCCGAGAUUCCAGCUCAUGACCCUGCCUCUCCUCCCUCCCCUUAGAACAAAGGCAACAGCACCAGAAGGAGCCCUGUGUCUUGAGUAAAGAGAUGUGAAUCACUCUGGCCCAGGAAACCAAGGACCAGAAGAGAGGACCAGGCCUCCUGAUGCUCUGUCCCAGACCUAACCCAGCCAAGUCUGUGCCUAGAGAGUCGAUGUGAGUGUGGACAAGAGAGUUUGUGUGGCUAGAACACCGUCUCUCUGUGGCUAGACUGCAGUGCUUCCAAUAAAGCUGCUUGGUACCG
rnacentral:lncRNA from 1 species